rnacentral:rRNA from 1 species
UAUGUGAUCGUCUCUCGCAUAUCAAUAAGCGGAGGAAAAGAAACUAACAAGGAUUCCCCUAGUAACGGCGAGUGAAGCGGGAAGAGCUCAAAUUUGAAAUCUUAAAGGGUUUCCCUUUACGAAUUGUAGUUUAAAGAAGUGUUUUCUGUUGAGGUUUUGGUAAAAGUUCUUUGGAAUAGGACAUCAUAGAGGGUGAGAAUCCCGUAUUUGACCUUUACUUUCAACUUUGUGAUACACUUUCAAAGAGUCGGAUUGUUUGGGAAUGCAGUCCAAAAUGGGUGGUAAAUUUCAUCUAAAGCUAAAUAUUGGCGAGAGACCGAUAGCGAACCAGUACCGUGAGGGAAAGAUGAAAAGAACUUUGAAAAGAGAGUUAAACAGUACGUGAAAUUGUCAAAAGGGAAGCGUUUGACACCAGUGUUGUUUUUCUGAAAAUCAAUUAAAGAACUGUUUAUGCUAAGCUUGUUUAGACUUUAUCAGCUAUCUGUUUAGUUUUGAGCUUUUCUUUAAUGCACUUUUCAGUUAACAAGUCAACAUCAAUUUCUUUUGCUGUAAAAAAGCUUGAGGAAGGUGGCUUGAGAUUCGUCUUAAGUGUUUAUAGCCUCUUGCCUAUGCAGUCGGAGAGAUUGAGGUCUGCAGCGUAGAUCCUUCGGGGCUAAAUGCAUUUGUGCUAAGUUAUAGCAUUUUAUAGACAACUUGUUGACUAUGAUUUGUCUUGUAGCUUACUCGCUUAUGUUAUUUUACCUACGCUUAGGAUGUUGAUCUACAGAGCGAGAGU